AACGAACGCUGGCGGCAGGCUUAACACAUGCAAGUCGAGCGCCCCGCAAGGGGAGCGGCAGACGGGUGAGUAACGCGUGGGAAUCUACCCAUCUCUACGGAAUAACGCAUGGAAACGUGUGCUAAUACCGUAUACGUCCUUCGGGAGAAAGAUUUAUCGGAGAUGGAUGAGCCCGCGUUGGAUUAGCUAGUUGGUGGGGUAACGGCCUACCAAGCCGACGAUCCGUAGCUGAUCUGAGAGGAUGAUCAGCCACACUGGGACUGAGACACGGCCCAGACUCCUACGGGAGGCAGCAGUGGGGAAUCUUGGACAAUGGGCGCAAGCCUGAUCCAGCCAUGCCGCGUGAGUGAAGAAGGCCUUAGGGUUGUAAAGCUCUUUUACCAGGGACGAUAAUGACGGUACCUGGAGAAUAAGCCCCGGCAAACUUCGUGCCAGCAGCCGCAGUAACAC
rnacentral:rRNA from 1 species